rnacentral:rRNA from 1 species
UACGGAGGAUCCGAGCGUUAUCCGGAUUUAUUGGGUUUAAAGGGUGCGCAGGCGGAAGAUUAAGUCGGUGGUGAAAUUUUGCAGCUCAACUGUAAAAGUGCCUUCGAAACUGGUUUCCUUGAGUGUAGAUGAAGUAGGCGGAAUUUGUGGUGUAGCAGUGAAAUGCAUAGAUAUCACGAGGAACUCCGAUUGCGCAGGCAGCUUACUAAACUACUACUGACGCUCAGGCACGAAGGCGUGGGGAUCAAACAGGAUUAGAUACCCGGGUAGU